rnacentral:rRNA from 1 species
CCUACGGGAGGCAGCAGUAGGGAAUCUUCGGCAAUGGGGGGAACCCUGACCGAGCAACGCCGCGUGAACGAAGAAGUUAUUCGUAAUGUAAAGUUCUUUUAACAGGGAAGAAAGAGAAAUUUGACGGUACCUGAAGAAUAAGCUCCGGCUAACUACGUGCCAGCAGCCGCGGUAAUACGUAGGGAGCGAGCGUUAUCCGGAAUUAUUGGGCGUAAAGGGUGCGUAGAUGGCAUAGUAAGUCUUUGGUAAAAAUGCUGGGCUAAACCCAGUAGGGCAAAAGAUACUGCAAAGCUAGAGGAUGAGAGAGGGGAGUGGAACUACAUGUGUAGCGGUGAAAUGCGUAGAUAUAUGGAAGAACACCAGUGGCGAAGGCGGCUUGCUGGGUCGCUACUGACAUUGAGGCACGAAAGCGUGGGGAGCAAACAGGAUUAGAUACCCUGGUAGUC